rnacentral:misc_RNA from 1 species
UUAACAUGUUUUAAAGAUUGCGGCGGGUGGCCUACUCAGACAACUAAUUGGUUCAAAGGUUUGUUAUUGGGCCCUUCCCCAGACACCUCAACCCAGGACCCCAAUUGAGGGGGUGGGCUGGCAGCAGUGGCCACUGAUCUGGGGAAGCAACAUGGGAGUGUACACAUGGAUGUGUUUGCUUGGGGGCCCGAUUGGACAUCCCAGACAUUUGUAAUGAUCCUUCCGCAGGUUCACCUACGGAAA